AUUCAUCACUCCUACUAUUAAAUUCAAAAAAUAUGUACAGACCAAGAAAUAUAGGAUACUUUGUUAAUGUCUUAACAAAUGUCUAUUUUUAACUAGUUAAAAAAUUCACCCUGGAGUUUGAAGCACUAAAAUAUUCGUUUUAUUUUGGAACAACACAUUGUGGUUCAUACAGAUAUUGCGUAACAAUUUUUCUAGCAAUAGUAGAACUUACAACAAAGAUAAAAGCAUUUAAAAGUUAAAACUUUUUUUCUUUAGGUGCUAUUGUUACCAACCAAGUUAUUAUUAUAUUUUAGAAUGAAUAAGAAAAUUACCACAUGCACAAAUGACAUAUGAAGACUUAUUCAUUUCUUAUAUACUUUUAGAAAUAAUUUUAAAAUCUAGCAGUUUGCCUUGUUGACACAAUAUCAGAAACGUACAAAUGCCCUAAUUGAAAAUCCAACAAAAAGUGUGCAGUAUCUCUAAGAAAACAAUUGAAAUCUCACUAUUUAAUAUAAGUGAACAGGACAAAUGGUAGAAAAAUUUCUUGACUAAAGAAACUCCAUCAAAUUGCAGCAAUGAGUAGAUGAGGUUCUACACAUGUCCUCUUAUGGUUAUAUUUAUAUUUUAUUUCUUAUUCUUGAGAAAGUGCAUUGGUGGGGUCAGCAGGGGAGUCUGUGCAGCGCCCCCAGAGCUUCAGCAUGACGUGGUGAUGUAGCCGAUUCCCAAAGGGCCCCAGUCUCCCUCGUGCACGUCACCGUUGUGAGUCCAUCCAGGGCCAGAGGAUGGUGUGAAACCUCCCUUCUCCUGUCACUCAGCCAUGGCUCAGUCACUCAAAGUGUGCUUUUCUUGUCUCCUGGGGUCUCAAUCCUCAUGCCCCCUUCACUCCUCAGUCUCUCCCUCCCAUCAGGCCUCAGCUCCAUCCUGAGGACCCUGCCCUCUUCAAGGAGCCCCAUCCCCGGCUCCAGCCCCAGCAUCAUCAUGGGACAGUGUGCUGAGAGAUGGGUCCCAGUGCAGGAGACCUCUGCUUUUUGGUGAUGAAGAGUGGCCUCCUCUCAGUAACUUCCUACAUUGUUUCUUGUUGACGGCCCCCCAUCUCCAUCAGGUGUGGACGUGAGAGGCAGGAGCUCCUUGUCCAGGGCACUCGGUCUCUCCAGAGAGACAGUGAUGGGGACAGAGGGAGGCUGACUCCAGUCAUGUCAGAAACAAGAAGGACCUAGAGACUGCGCUGGAGCCGACCCAGCAGCCUUGGGUCUCACACGGGUCCCCGGCUCCUGCAGAAGUGAAGCCCUUGUGCCCAGGCCUCUCCCUCACCAUCUGCUCUCCUGUCACCACUGAGUCCUGCAGCCCCUGCAGAGGCACCUCCCUCUGACCAUCUCCCUGAGGUGAGGGCAUCACUGGUAUUUCUUUUCUAUCUUGAAAAAUAAAACACAGAUCAUCUAUAAUAACUAAUUUUAUAAAUUAAUUAGGAAAUGGUGUGACAAAUUACAUAGGAAAAAAUGUAAAACAAUAUCAAAGUACAUAAAAUCCAGUGCAAAAGGAGAGAUAUGCCACGGCAAUGGGUUGUAUGAAUCCCAUUUGAAUGAUGGCGGUGUCACAGUAUGAUUCUACCAACGUGAUACAGUGCAGUUAAAAUGACAGUGAUAUUUUAGAGAUUUGUCCAACUUAUUUGAAAAUUUACAUGGAAAAAUUACAGAAAAGACAAGAUAAUUUUCAAAAACAAGGAAAUAAGAACAGAUGCUGUAGUAUUGUACAAAGCAAUUGUA
ensembl:lncRNA